rnacentral:rRNA from 1 species
GCAGCCGCGGUAAUACGGGGGGCGCAAGCGUUGCUCGGAAUCACUGGGCGUAAAGCGUACGCAGGCGGCGUCGUAAGUCAGGGGUGAAAUCCCGGGGCUCAACCCCGGAACUGCCCUUGAAACUGCAGCGCUAGAAUCUUGGAGAGGCGAGUGGAAUUCCGAGUGUAGAGGUGAAAUUCGUAGAUAUUCGGAAGAACACCAGUGGCGAAGGCGACUCGCUGGACAAGUAUUGACGCUGAGGUGCGAAAGCGUGGGGAGCAAA